GAUCAACGCUGGCGGCGUGCAUAACACAUGCAAGUCGAACGAUGAAGAUUAAAAGAUUUCUUCGGAAUGAACUUAAUUGGCUUAGUGGCGGACGGGUGAGUAACGCGUGAGUAACCUGCCUUGUACAAGGGGAUAGCCGUUGGAAACGACGAAUAAUACCCUAUGACAUCAAAUAAUCGCAUGAUAAUUUGAUCAAAGAUUUAUCGGUAUAAGAUGGACUCGCGUCUGAUUAGCUAGUUGGUAGAGUAAAAGCCUACCAAGGCAACGAUCAGUAGCCGGCUUGAGAGAGUGUACGGCCACAUUGGGACUGAGACACGGCCCAGACUCCUACGGGAGGCAGCAGUGGGGAAUUUUGCACAAUGGGGGAAACCCUGAUGCAGCGACGCCGCGUGAUUUAGAAGGCCUUCGGGUUGUAAAAAUCUUUUGUAUGGGAAGAAAAUGACAGUACCAUACGAAUAAGGACCGGCUAAUUACGUG
rnacentral:rRNA from 1 species